UACAGAGGUCCCAAGCGUUGUUCGGAUUCACUGGGCGUAAAGGGUGCGUAGGUGGUCGGGUAAGUCUGAUGUGAAAUCUCCGAGCUCAACUCGGAAAUGGCAUUGGAUACUAUUCGGCUAGAGGGUUUGAGGGGGGACUGGAAUACUUGGUGUAGCAGUGAAAUGCGUAGAUAUCAAGUGGAACACCAGUGGCGAAGGCGAGUCCCUGGAAAACUCCUGACACUGAGGCACGAAAGCUAGGGGAGCAAACAGG
rnacentral:rRNA from 1 species